rnacentral:rRNA from 1 species
AUGGCCGCCGCCGACUACGACCGCGCGUACCGCCCCUACGCGCCCUCCUCCGCCGCCGACUACGACCGCCCCUACCGCAACGAGAUCGUGCCCUACGGCGACCGCCGCAUCGACCUCGUCGUCAAGCCGCCGCCGCCCACCAGGUCCCCGCCGCCGCCGUUGCCGGUCACCAAGAGCGGAGGCGGAGGCGGGAUAGGCUCCGCCUGGUGCUUCAGCGACCCGGAGGUGAAGAGGCGGCGUCGGGUGGCGAGCUACAAGGCGUACUCGGUGGAGGGAAAAGUCAAGGCCUCCUUCCGCCGGGGCUUCCGCUGGAUCAAGGACAAGUGCACGGGCUUCAUCCAUGGCUGA